CAUUAAUGAGUUAGGGUCUUCCAGGCCCGAUCUCCAACCCUUUGUAUAACUACCAUGUUGCUUUGGCGGGCCCGUCUUUAACCGGACCGCCGGGGGUUUACGCCCCUGGUCAGUGCUCGUCAGUAGCCCAUAACAAAUUCUUUGAAUCAUGUUAAAUCUGAAAAUAGUUAAAUAAACCAAAACUUUCAACAACGGAUCUCUUGGUUCUGGCAUCGAUGAAGAACGCAGCGAAAUGCGAUAAGUAAUGUGAAUUGCAGAAUUCAGUGAAUCAUCGAAUCUUUGAACGCACCUUGCGCCUCUUGGUAUUCCGAGAGGCAUGCCUGUUUGAGUGUCUUAUAAAAUCAAUCCCCUCGGGUUUCUCGACCCGGUGGUGGACUUGGAGUUGGGCGUCUGCCGGUCACACGGCUCGCCUUAAAGACCUUAGUGGGACCGAUGACCCAUGGCUUGACGUAAUAAGUUUCGUCUCGCUCGGCUGUCGGCGUCUGCUCAGAACCCGCCCUCGGGCAAUCUACUUUAUGCUAGACCUCAAAUCAGGUAGGACUACCC
rnacentral:rRNA from 1 species